rnacentral:rRNA from 1 species
AACGCUGGCGGCGUGCAUGAGACAUGCAAGUCGAACGGACGGUCGAGGCUUGCCUGGACCGUUAGUGGCGGACGGCUGAGUAACGCGUGGGUGACCUGCCCCGGAGUGGGGAAUAACUGCCCGAAAGGGUGGCUAAUACCGCAUGUGCCGGUACGUUCAUUCGUACCAGCAAAGCCGCAAGGCGCUUCGGGAGGGGCCUGCGUCCGAUUAGCUCGUUGGUGGGGUAACGGCUCACCAAGGCGACGAUCGGUAGGUGGUCUGAGAGGACGAUCACCCAGACUGGGACUGAGACACGGCCCAGACUCCUACGGGAGGCAGCAGUCGGGAAUUUUGCGCAAUGGACGAAAGUCUGACGCAGCAACGCCGCGUGAGGGAUGAAGGCCUUCGGGUUGUAAACCUCUUUUCUCAGGGAAGAUAAUGACGGUACCUGAGGAAUAAGCCACGGCUAACUACGUGCCAGCAGCCGCGGUAAUACGUAGGUGGCAAGCGUUGUCCGGAUUUACUGGGCGUAAAGAGCGCGCAGGCGGUCGUUCAAGUCGCGUGUGAAAGCCCCCGGCUCAACUGGGGAGGGUCACGCGAUACUGAUCGACUCGAAGGCAGGAGAGGGUAGUGGAAUUCCCGGUGUAGUGGUGAAAUGCGUAGAUAUCGGGAGGAACACCAGUGGCGAAGGCGACUACCUGGCCUGUUCUUGACGCUGAGGCGCGAAAGCUAGGGGAGCAAACG